CUCCGACAAACCUCUUCUUCGCC
rnacentral:siRNA from 1 species